rnacentral:rRNA from 1 species
CAGCCGCCACGGUAAUACGUAGGGUGCAAGCGUUAAUCGGAAUUACUGGGCGUAAAGCGUGCGCAGGCGGUCCGCUAAGACAGAUGUGAAAUCCCCGGGCUUAACCUGGGAACUGCAUUUGUGACUGCAUGGCUAGAGUACGGUAGGGGGGGAUGGAAUUCCGCGUGUAGCAGUGAAAUGCGUAGAUAUGCGGAGGAACACCGAUGGCGAAGGCAAUCCCCUGGACCUGUACUGACGCUCAUGCACGAAAGCGUGGGGAGCAAACAGGAUUAGAUACCCCUGUAGUCCCUGUCUCUUAUAC